GAUGAACGCUGACAGAAUGCUUAACACAUGCAAGUCAACUUGAACUUCAGUUUGGGUGGCGGACGGGUGAGUAACGCGUAAAGAACUUGCCUCACAGAUAGGGACAACAUUUGGAAACGAAUGCUAAUACCUGAUAUUAUGAUUUUAGGGCAUCCUAAGAUUAUGAAAGCUAUAUGCGCUGUGAGAGAGCUUUGCGUCCCACUAGCUAGUUGGAGAGGUAACGGCUCACCAAGGCGAUGAUGGGUAGCCGGCCUGAGAGGGUGAUCGGCCACAAGGGGACUGAGACACGGCCCUUACUCCUACGGGAGGCAGCAGUGGGGAAUAUUGGACAAUGGACCAAGAGUCUGAUCCAGCAAUUCUGUGUGCACGAUGAAGUUUUUCGGAAUGUAAAGUGCUUUCAGUUGGGAAGAAAAAAAUGACGGUACCAACAGAAGAAGUGACGGCUAAAUACGUGCCAGCAGCCGCGGUAAUACGUAUGUCACAAGCGUUAUCCGGAUUUAUUGGGCGUAAAGCGCGUCUAGGUGGUUAUGUAAGUCUGAUGUGAAAAUGCAGGGCUCAACUCUGUAUUGCGUUGGAAACUGUGUAACUAGAGUACUGGAGAGGUAAGCGGAACUACAAGUGUAGAGGUGAAAUUCGUAGAUAUUUGUAGGAAUGCCGAUGGGGAAGCCAGCUUACUGGACAGAUACUGACGCUGAAGCGCGAAAGCGUGGGUAGCAAACAGG
rnacentral:rRNA from 1 species